GUUAUGAUACAUGGUCCUCUUUGG
rnacentral:siRNA from 1 species